rnacentral:pre_miRNA from 1 species
GAUUUCAACUGAAAAAGUCACCAACAACAAAGUUGUAUAACUCAUCAAGAUCUAUAACUUUUAUUUUGGUCAUUUCUUCAUCUGACAAAGUGAUAAUAACAUUGUUCAUAAAAUUCACAUAUCUCUCAUCUGGUUUAUAAACUAUAACACAGAUAUGUAAAUUUUAUGAACAAUAUUACUAAUACUUUAUCAGAUGAAGAAAUGACAAACAUAAAAGUUAUAGAUCUUGGUGAGUUAUACAACUUUGUUGUUGAUGACUUUUUUAGUUGAAAUC